rnacentral:rRNA from 1 species
GAUGAACGCUGGCGGCGUGCCUAAUACAUGCAAGUCGAGCGAACAGACGAGGAGCUUGCUCCUCUGACGUUAGCGGCGGACGGGUGAGUAACACGUGGAUAACCUACCUAUAAGACUGGGAUAACUUCGGGAAACCGGCGCUAAUACCGGAUAAUAUAUUGAACCGCAUGGUUCAAUAGUGAAAGACGGUUUUGCUGUCACUUAUAGAUGGAUCCGCGCCGCAUUAGAUAGUUGGUAAGGUAACGGCUUACCAAGGCAACGAUGCGUAGCCGACCUGAGAGGGUGAUCGGCGACACUGGAGCGGGGACGGGGUCCAUGGUCCUGAGGGAGGCAGCAGUAGGGAAUCGGACGCAAUGGGCGGAAGUCUGACGGAGCAAGGCCGCGUGUGUGAUGAAGGUCUUCGGAGCGUGAAGAUCUGUUAUUAGGGAUGAACAAAUGUGUAAGUAACCAUGCACGUCUUGACGGUACCGAGUCAGAAAGCCACGGCUAACUACGUG